UGAGAUACGUAUCCAGUGGAUGCGACAUCCGUGCGAGUCAUUUUCUUUUGACCCUUUUUAGUAAAUAGUAUAUUAGAUAAACCCACACCCUUUAGACAAGAACAACAAGAGUGGAUCCCGUAGAGUACUACGGAUGCGUAGAGGUGCUAAUACCUUCCCUUCGCAGAAUCGACUCCCGAACCCAAGAUUUGGUUGCGAGACCAGACCUUUUCCUUUC
rnacentral:lncRNA from 1 species